AUGACGGUGAAGGCGACAGAGGCGCUGCUGCGGCGUUUCAACGAGCCACUGUCGGAGGGCGACAUCGACUGCAUCGCCAAGCUCACACGCCUCGACGUCGAGGCGCUGCGCACCAUGGCCGGCCUGGCCGGUCCGGACGGUGCAGAGCAAGAUUAGGUAAUGGGUGUGCUGGAUCAGCUCAUCUCCCCGGCCCAGAGUGCUUUCCAGAAGAAGAAGGGCAUACAUGACAGCUUCCUCUACGUUCAGAGUGCACUACGGCUGUUUCAGAGGAAAAAAUCGCCGGCGCUCCUGCUAAAGAUCGACAUUGCAAAGGCCUUCGACACGGUUUCAUGGGAAUAUAUCCUCGAGCUGCUGCAGCGCAUGAAUUUCCCGACGCAUUGGAGAGACUGGAUCGCGCUGCUUCUCUCCUCCGCAGGCAGCGUAGCAGGCUGGCGCCAUCGCUUCGUGCCGACCGGUACAGCACGCCUACGUGUCACGCUAUACGCUGACGACGCGAUCUUCUUCGCCAAUCCGGUGCGUCAGGAGAUAGAUACCAUCAUGCAGCUCCUAGAAGGGUUUGGAGAGGCGACGGGACUGCGCAGCAACCCACAAAAAUCGUCAGCGGCAGCUCUCAAUUGUGGUAGUAUAGACCUCAUAGACGUCCUUCAAAAUUUCGGCGGCACUAGAGUAGGCUUCCCGAUCAGGUACCUAGGUCUUCCGCUCGGCAUCGGCAGGCUCCGGCUUGUGCACAUCCAGUACCUUCUCGACCGCAUCCGCGCAAGGUUAGCGGCUUGGAAAGGCCAUCUCUUGCCGAUCGCAGGACGCCGCGUGCUGGUCCGGUGCGUCAUGUCCGCAUUGCCUGCCUUCGCCAUGGCUGUCCUGCGCAUCCCGAAAAGAUUCUACAAGGACGUCGACAAGACACGACGGCGGUUCCUGUGGGCGCACGACGACGUGGUCACCGGUGGUAGAUGA
rnacentral:rRNA from 1 species